GAUGAACGCUGGCGGCGUGCCUAAUACAUGCAAGUCGAGCGAACGGACGAGGAGCUUGCUUGUCUGAUGUUAGGGGCGGACGGGUGAGUAACACGAGGAUAACCUACCUAUAAGACUGGGAUAAGUACGGGAAAGCGGAGAUAAUAACGGAUAAGAUUUUGAACGGCAUGGAUCAAAAGAGAAAGACGGACUUGCUGACACUAAUAGAUGGAUCCGCGCUGCAUUAGCUAGUUGGCAAGGUAACGGCUUACCAAGGCAACGAUGCAUAGCCGACCUGAGAGGGUGAUCAGCCACACUGGAACUGAGACACGGUCCAGACUCCUACGGGAGGCAGCAGUAGGGAAUCUUCCGCAAUGGGCGAAAGCCUGACGCAGCAACGCCGCGUGAGUGAUGAAGGUCUUCGGAUCGUAAAACUCUGUUAUUAGGGAAGAACAUCUGUGUAAGUAUCUGUGCACAUCUUGACGGUACCUAAUCAGAAAGCCACGGCUAACUACGUG
rnacentral:rRNA from 1 species